CCUACGGGAGGCAGCAGUGAGGAAUAUUGGACAGUGGGCGCAAGCCUGAUCCAGCCAUGCCGCGUGCAGGAAGACGGUCCUAUGGAUUGUAAACUGCUUUUAUACAGGAAGAAACACCUCUACGUGUAGAGACUUGACGGUACUGUAUGAAUAAGCAUCGGCUAACUCCGUGCCAGCAGCCGCGGUAAUACGGAGGAUGCAAGCGUUAUCCGGAAUCAUUGGGUUUAAAGGGUCCGUAGGCGGUUUAAUAAGUCAGUGGUGAAAGCCCAUCGCUCAACGAUGGAACGGCCAUUGAUACUGUUAAACUUGAAUUAUUAGGAAGUAACUAGAAUAUGUAGUGUAGCGGUGAAAUGCUUAGAGAUUACAUGGAAUACCAAUUGCGAAGGCAGGUUACUACUAAUAUAUUGACGCUGAUGGACGAAAGCGUGGGGAGCGAACAGGAUUAGAUACCCUGGUAGUCCACGCCGUAAACGAUGGAUACUAGCUGUUCGGAGNAUCUGAGUGNGUAGAGAAGUAGAUAAGUAAUACCACCUCGGGAGGUACGGUUCGUCGAAGAAAGUAGAAACGUACAAAUAGUAAGUUAGUACGGACGUAGAGACGUUAGCCGACGGACGACGACCGAGGGGAGGGAGGGAG
rnacentral:rRNA from 1 species